GUGAAUCAUCAAAUUUUUGAACGCAAAUUGCACUCUCUGGUAUUCCAGAGAGUAUGCCUGUUUGAGUGUCAUUUUAAAUAAAAAUCGGUGUUUUUGCUUCCUUUCGUUGUGACGCACCGGAGUGGGGUCGUCUUGCCUUCGGUUAAGUGACCUAAAAUUUGGCAUUGUUUUUUUCUAACGUAUUUAAAUGAUUUUACGUACUUUUUCUAGAUCGGAUACUAUGUGUGUGCAUCCUCAUGAUUCGCUCCU
rnacentral:misc_RNA from 1 species